GACGAACGCUGGCGGCGUGCUUAACACAUGCAAGUCGAACGGAAAGGCCCUGCUUGCAGGGUGCUCGAGUGGCGAACGGGUGAGUAACACGUGGGUGAUCUGCCCCUUACUUUGGGAUAAGCCUGGGAAACUGGGUCUAAUACUGGAUAGGACCAUGCUGUAGGUGGUGUGGUGGAAAGAUUAGUUUCGGUAAGGGAUGAGCUCGCGGCCUAUCAGCUUGUUGGUGGGGUAAUGGCCUACCAAGGCGUCGACGGGUAGCCGGCCUGAGAGGGUGGACGGCCACAUUGGGACUGUGAUACGGCCCAGACUCCUACGGGAGGCAGCAGUGGGGAAUAUUGCACAAUGGGCGCAAGCCUGAUGCAGCGACGCCGCGUGGGGGAUGACGGCCUUCGGGUUGUAAACUCCUUUCAGCCAUGACGAAGCCCUUGUGGUGACGGUAGUGGUAGAAGAAGCACCGGCUAACUACGUG
rnacentral:rRNA from 1 species